rnacentral:sRNA from 1 species
UGAUAGUCAGCAGCGAGCACCUCCGCUUC